rnacentral:tRNA from 1 species
UCCCUGGUAGCCUAGUGGUUAGGACGUGGUGCUUUCAAUGCUGCGGCCCGGGUUCAAUCCCUGGUCUGGGAA